rnacentral:rRNA from 1 species
UACGUAGGGCGCAAGCGUUAUCCGGAAUUAUUGGGCGUAAAGAGCUCGUAGGCGGUUUGUCGCGUCUGCCGUGAAAGUCCGGGGCCCAACUCCGGAUCUGCGGUGGGUACGGGCAGACUAGAGUGUGGUAGGGGAGACUGGAAUUCCUGGUGUAGCGGUGAAAUGCGCAGAUAUCAGGAGGAACACCGAUGGCGAAGGCAGGUCUCUGGGCCACUACUGACGCUGAGAAGCGAAAGCAUGGGGAGCGAACAGG